GAUGAAGAAGUAGCGAAAUGCGAUACGUAAUGUGAAUUGCAGAAUUCAGUGAAUCAUCGAGUCUUUGAACGCACAUUGCGCCCCCUGGUAUUCCGGGGGGCAUGCCUGUCCGAGCGUCAUUGCUGCCCUCAAGCACGGCUUGUGUGUUGGGCCUCCGUCCUCCUCCCGGGGGACGGGCCCGAAAGGCAGCGGCGGCACCGCGUCCGGUCCUCGAGCGUAUGGGGCUUCGUCACCCGCUCUUGUAGGCCCGGCCGGCGCUUGCCGACACAUCAAUCUUUUUUCCAGGUUGACCUCGGAUCAGGUAGGGAUACCCGCUGAACUUAAGCAUAUCAAUAAGCGGAGA
rnacentral:misc_RNA from 1 species